UACAGAGGUCUCAAGCGUUUGUUCGGAUUCAUUGGGCGUAAAGGGUGCGUAGGCGGCUUUGUAAGUCAGUGGUGAAAUAUGGCAGCUCAACUGUCAAGGUGCCAUUGAUACUGCGGAGCUUGAGUACAGAUGAGGUAGGCGGAAUUGACGGUGUAGCGGUGAAAUGCUUAGAUAUCGUCAAGAACACCUAUAGCGAAGGCAGCUUACUAGGCUGUAACUGACGCUGAGGCACGAAAGUGUGGGGGAUCAAAACAGGG
rnacentral:rRNA from 1 species